rnacentral:rRNA from 1 species
GACGAACGCUGGCGGCGUGCUUAACACAUGCAAGUCGAACGGAAAGGCCCUGCUUUUGUGGGGUGCUCGAGUGGCGAACGGGUGAGUAACACGUGAGUAACCUGCCCUUGACUUUGGGAUAACUUUAGGAAACUGGGGCUAAUACCGGAUAGGAGCUCCUGCUGCAUGGUGGGGGUUGGAAAGUUUCGGCGGUUGGGGAUGGACUCGCGGCUUAUCAGCUUGUUGGUGGGGUAGUGGCUUACCAAGGCUUUGACGGGUAGCCGGCCUGAGAGGGUGACCGGCCACAUUGGGACUGCGAUACGGCCCAGACUCCUACGGGCGGCAGCAGUGGGGAAUAUUGCACAAUGGGCGGAAGCCUGAUGCAGCAACGCCGCGUGCGUGAUGACGGCCUUCGGGUUGUAAACCGCUUUCGCCUGUGCCGAAGCGUGAGUGACGGUAAUGGGUAAAGAAGCACCGGCUAACUACGUG